UACGUAGGUGACGAGCGUUAUCCGGAAUACUGGGCGUAAAGCGCACGCAAGCGGUUGGACAAGUCUGGCGUGAAAUCCUCUGGCUUAACCAGGGGGCGGUCGCUGGAGACUGUUCGGCUUGAGGCGAUGAGAGGGGUGCAGAAUUCCCGGUGUAGUGGUGGAAUGCGUAGAGAUCGGGAGGAAUACCAGUGGCGAAAGCGGCACCCUGGCGUCGUACUGACGCACAUGUGCGAAAGCGUGGGGAGCGAACGGGG
rnacentral:rRNA from 1 species